CAAGAAAAAGAGCCUCUCAGGAUGGUGGAGGCACACAAGUAGGGACCGGUGUUAAACCAUAUGUGUCUGACAACCUGACAAUAACAACAGGAGUUACCAGACUCAAUCAUCAUAAAGAAUAAGUAAAUUUACCAAUAACUCAGAGGCCUGAUCUAUCUAUCCUCCUUCACUGAAAGGACUCAUCCUUGUUUAUUUUAUGAAUAUCUAUUUUGCUAUUCACAUGCUUACUUACAGGGUGAGGGACUUUGUUGCCAACAAGACCAAUGCCUCAGAACCUGUGACUCAGUUUUGGCUGGAGGUAGGGGACCCAGGCCUGGAGGAGCCAAGCUGCAGUGAGACUUCAAGGCAGCCACACAGUCCACCGCCAGGGUUCAACUGCACCUCCUCAGCCUCAGCUGAGCACCAAGAUUCUGGGCUCCCCUUAUUGCCCUGUGAGCUGCUCCUGAGAAGUCAGAUCCGACUUGUCCUCUGUGGUCACCUUGGAGUUACACUUCCUUUCUCUCUGCCAUCUACUUUGAAGAACUCCUUUUCAGGUUGUCUUCUUCAGGAAUGA
rnacentral:lncRNA from 1 species